GACGAACGCUGGCGGCGUGCUUAACACAUGCAAGUCGAACGGAAAGGCCCUGCUUUUGUGGGGUGCUCGAGUGGCGAACGGGUGUGUAACACGUGAGUAACCUGCCCUUGACUUUGGGAUAACUUCAGGAAACUGGGGCUAAUACCGGAUAGGAGCUCCUGCUGCAUGGUGGGGGUUGGAAAGUUUCGGCGGUUGGGGAUGGACUCGCGGCUUAUCAGCUUGUUUGUGGGGUAGUGGCUUACCAAGGCUUUGACGGGUAGCCGGCCUGAGAGGGUGACCGGCCACAUUGGGACUGAGGUACGGCCCAGACUCCUACGGGAGGCAGCAGUGGGGAAUAUUGCACAAUGGGCGGAAGCCUGAUGCAGCAACGCCGCGUGCGGGAUGACGGCCUUCGGGUUGUAAACCGCUUUCGCCUGUGACGAAGCGUGAGUGACGGUAAUGGGUAAAGAAGCACCGGCUAACUACGUG
rnacentral:rRNA from 1 species